AUUGAACGCUGGCGGCAUGCCUUACACAUGCAAGUCGAACGGCAGCACGGGAGCAAUCCUGGUGGCGAGUGGCGAACGGGUGAGUACUAUAUCGGAACGUGCCCAGUAGUGGGGGAUAACUGCUCGAAAGAGCAGCUAAUACCGCAUACGACCUGAGAGUGAAAGGGGGGGAUCGCAAGACCUCUCGCUAUUGGAGCGGCAGAUAUCAGAUUAGCUAGUUGGUGGGGUAAAGGACUACAAAGGCAACGAUCUGUAGUUGGUCUGAGAGGACGACCAGCCACACUGGGACUGAGAGACGGCCCAGACUCCUACGGGAGGCAGCAGUGGGGAAUUUUGGACAAUGGGCGCAAGCCUGAUCCAGCAAUGCCGCGUGCAGGAAGAAGGCCUUCGGGUUGUAAACUGCUUUUGUCAGGGAAGAAAUCCUCUAGGUUAAUACCCUUGGGGGGAUGACGGUACCUGAAGAAUAAGCACCGGCUAACUACGUGCCAGCAGCCGCCGUAAAAC
rnacentral:rRNA from 1 species